rnacentral:misc_RNA from 1 species
AGCCUAAUGAGACAUGACAUGUGUACGUAGUCUUGUAAACAAGACUACAAAAUAGAGAUAGCCCUCCUCCUUUCUUAAUUCUCAACAUAUGUUCCCUCUUGGUGCUAUAUUUAACUUGGUAAAUGUUUCUUACAGACCACUUAUAUACAGGUACGAACGUGUUACUUUUUAAAAAGGAAAUGACAAAAGGUUGUAUGCAUAGAACAUGUUCCCCAUAAAAACUUAACCCGUUUAGCUUGAUUUGAAAGAAGAAGAAGA